rnacentral:rRNA from 1 species
UACGUAGGGUGCGAGCGUUGUCCGGAAUUAUUGGGCGUAAAGGGCUCGUAGGCGGUUUGUCGCGUCGGGAGUGAAAACUCAGGGCUUAACCCUGAGCCUGCUUCCGAUACGGGCAGACUAGAGGUAUGCAGGGGAGAACGGAAUUCCUGGUGUAGCGGUGAAAUGCGCAGAUAUCAGGAGGAACACCGAUGGCGAAGGCAGGUCGUCUGGGCCACUACUGACGCUGAGAAGCGAAAGCAUGGGGAGCGAACAGGAUUAGAU